rnacentral:rRNA from 1 species
AGUGAACGCUGGCGGUAGACCUAACACAUGCAAGUCGAACGGCAGCACAGUAAGAGCUUGCUCUUACGGGUGGCGAGUGGCGGACGGGUGAGGAAUACACCGGAAUCUACUUUUUCGUGGGGGAUAACGUAGGGAAACUUACGCUAAUACCGCAUACGACCUACGGGUGAAAGCAGGGGAUCUUCGGACCUUGCGCGAUUGAAUGAGCCGAUGUCGGAUUAGCUAGUUGGCGGGGUAAAGGCCCACCAAGGCGACGAUCCGUAGCUGGUCUGAGAGGAUGAUCAGCCACACUGGAACUGAGACACGGUCCAGACUCCUACGGGAGGCAGCAGUGGGGAAUAUUGGACAAUGGGCGCAAGCCUGAUCCAGCCAUACCGCGUGGGUGAAGAAGGCCUUCGGGUUGUAAAGCCCUUUUGUUGGGAAAGAAAAGCAGCAGGUUAAUACCCCGCUGUUCUGACGGUACCCAAAGAAUAAGCACCGGCUAACUUCGUG